UUUUUAGGAGCUAAAUUGUUUGAUGAUACUCCAAUUUCAGUCACAAAAAGAGGAGACAUAAAAGAAGAAGAGGAACUCAAUAGAGAGCUGGAAUUGUCAAGAGAUUACUAUAAACAUCCUCGUGCUCCAUUAUAUGACUGUCUAGAUUAUGGAUUCGAUGAGUCAUUUGAUGACACUGAAAUUUUGAUAUCUGGAGUUCUUGAAGAUUCCUUGCAGGGGCACAGUGAUGAUGAGUAUUAAGGAUCCCUUAAGCUAGAAUUUAAUGGUUCAUAAGACUGCAAUGCAUCCAGUAAUUGUAACAACAAUGUAUUAUCUACGGAAAUCAUUGUUAGGGGGGCUGAUACUCCACUUUCCAAGAUUUCCAAUGGAAGUUACCCUGAUCAGUCAAACUGUGAUGAAUCUGGAGAUUGUUCCAACUCUAUUGAUUUAAUUGAGAAAACAAGAACCGGCGCAUUGGAUAGAGCUGGCUUUGAUGCAUGUGAUUCAUUGAAAGAGGAACUUAAGAGACCCUUGCCAUUGGAUAUGCUAUCUCACACAUGUAGUCCAUCUAUAAGUUCAGAUGAAAACAACCUUCUCCUGGCAGGUCCUUUACCUCUCUCUGAAAAAAUGAUUCUUCCAAAUGCUACACUUCCAAAGACCAUGUGAAUUUCUUAGAAGGAGAUCAACUGAUUCUAAAACCAGAUCGAAAUCCCAUGCACCAAAGUGAAAUGGCUCUUAUUGAGUAAGAUGAUUUUGAUGGGCUGCUUACUAACAGAACCAAAGAAGAGGAGCUGAUUCAAAACUUUUUGAGAAAUAGCCAGUUGACCACAUAUGGCCUGUCGUGCCUAAAAGGAGGUCUGCAUGAACGCGAACUUUGUGUUGUUUUUCUUAACAAUCACUUCAGUACUAUGUUUAAGUUCAAUGGUGAACUCUACAUCUUAAUUACUGAUGAAGGUUAUGCAAAUCAGCCUGGUCUGGUGUGGGAAAAGUUAAAUGAGGUCAAUGUUCAGGAGGACUAUCAUGCUAGCAUCCACAAUGCAAAAUCAAAGGAAGCAACUUAUAAGUCUAUCAUCUUUACCAUUUCUCUUUUGUUUCAAUUGUGUUAUGUUUCAUUUGGAUGUUUGUGGAAAUAUUGAGAAUACAAAGUAUCUCCUGGAUUUUUGGCUUAUCGGAUUUCUAUGGCAAGUCCGGUUGAAU